GAUGAACGCUGGCGGCGUGCCUAAUACAUGCAAGUCGAGCGAACGGACGAGGAGUUCGCGUCGCUGAUGUUAGCGGCGGACGGGUGAGUAACACGUGGAUAACCUAUCUAUAAGAGUGGAAUAACUUCGAGAAACCGUAGCUAAUACCGGAAAAUAUUUUGAACCGCAUGGUUCAAAAGAGAAAGACGGUCUAGCUGUCACUUAUAGAUGGAUCCGCGUUGCAGUAGCGAGUUGGUAAGGUAACGGCUUACCAAGGCAACGAGGCAUAGCCGACCUGAGCGGGUGGUCGGCCACACUGGAUCUGAGACACGGUCCAGACUCCUACGGGAGGCAGCCGUAGGGAAUCUUCCGCAAUGGGCGAAAGCCUGACGGAGCAACGCCGCGUGAGUGAUGAAGGUCUUCGGAUCGUAAAACUCUGUUAUUAGGGAAGUACAUAUGUGUAAGUAGCUGUGCACAUCUUGACGGUACCUAAUCAGAAAGCCCCGGCUAACUACGUG
rnacentral:rRNA from 1 species